rnacentral:rRNA from 1 species
AGCAGCCGCGGUAAUUCCAGCUCCAAUAGCGUAUAUUAAAGUUGUUGCAGUUAAAAAGCUCGUAGUUGAAUUUCGGGAUCAAUAUGUUGGUCGUGCCUUGGUACGUACUAAUUUAUUGGUUUCUUCCUUCUGACGAACCAUGAUGUCAUUAAUUUGGUGUCUUGGGGAAUCAGGACUGUUACUUUGAAAAAAUUAGAGUGUUUAAAGCAGGCUCACGCUUGAAUACAUUAGCAUGGAAUAAUGAAAUAGGACGUUUGAUUCUAUUUUGUUGGUUUCUAGGAUCGACGUAAUGAUUAAUAGGGAUAGUUGGG